CUGUCAGCAGUUCAGAGAUUGCCAGGGUCUGCAGGCCAGAGACUGAAAAGUGCUGCAUCAAAGGAUUCGAGUGCUUAAGACAUGGCUGAGAUGCAACUGAGGGUCCAAAGUCCAAAACUGGAAACUCCGCAGGCCUCUCCUACUCACCUCCUGCAUGAUGCUGAGAGUGUCUCUUCUCAACCUGUUUGAUCUUGGAGUCUUUGGGAUUGCUUAUGGAUUACCUCUGCGUCAGUCUGAGCAACCUGGAGUCCGACUGAGGCUGACCAGGACAGGAAUUGGGGUCCUGCAUGAGCUCCUUCGAAGGCUCAGCUUCCCCAGGAUAGGCUCGGGGAUGAGACCUCCUUGCAAAACCUGGCGCUGGCUCCUCUGCAACGGAGCUGCAGGGCACGACACGCCCUCCCUCUCUGCCUGCCAGGACUGGUGUUAAGGCACUUGCCCAAGGCAGUAGGUGUGCUGGGCCCCCUGUCUUCUGUUACCCAGCCUGAAGGAUCCCCACCAUCACCACCACCUCUGGAGCUAGGUCACCGUGCAAAAAAGGUGGGAAGUUGAUAGUGAAGGAAAGCAAACAGUGGCAGGACUUCAGUGGCGGCUGCCACGUUCACUGCUCCUCAUCUGAGAGUCUGGAGCACUCGCUUCUCCCUGGCUGCUACAGAAGCGCUGCUCAGUGGGGUGAGGAUUCCCCUUUGGGGAGCCCAGCGCUGCCCUUGCCCCGCUGCCCAGAGUGACCGGGAUCAAGCCACAGAGACGAUUUCUGACUUUGACUCUCCACAGCCAAAGAGAACCAAGCGCAUAAUUACUUCUGGACUCUUUCGAAAAGCCUCGGAUACUCUGAUGAUGAGCUCAGAAAUGUUUGGAUUAUCAGCUGCUAGUAACGGAGGAGCACAUACCUGCAGCAUCUGUUCUUGGUGAGAUCCCAGGGCUUCCUCACCUCAAGGCGGAGAAGUUAGCAUGGCUGGAGGUGACUGCUAGUGCUGACCGCUGUCCAUGGACUACAGAAAGAGCCUUGGCAGCUGGCUUGGACUUCUGGCUAAAGCAGAUGAGUACUACGCUAAGUGACGUGCCCACGGUCACACAAGAAGUCUGUGGCGGAGUACGGAACAGGAGCGCUGCUUCUGUUUUCCUCAAAACCUCGGACUACUACAAUUACCACCUUUGCAGCCUGCAGGCGAAGCUGGGAGCUGAGCCUAGCGUUAUGGCAUCACUCGUUCCAGCAGGGAGUGAAUUCAGUAAGAGUUUGACUUUUCUGAAGCGAAGCCUUUAGUGUCCUGAGCAUCAGUCUUUCAACCAUCAGAAACGGAGGAGGAGAAAAAUGGAGCUGAGCAUCUCUUUACAGGAAAAAGAGACUGAAACCGCACCCAUUUCUGUCUCCUGUACACCACUCUACAGCUACUGCUCCUGCAUGUAGCCUUCUCCGCUGCUAAAUAAUUCCUGUUCUUCCUCGAUGUGAAAUCCUGCCUCCACUGAAGUCAAUGAAAAUCUUGACAUCAACUUCAACAAGGACUUUGCAUUGAGCUGAAUGAAGCGAGCCUCACCAGAAGGAGACCUAAUUCUGGAUACCCUCAGGAUGAAUAUUUUAGCCGAGGUAAACGCCGUGCGGGGUGUGAAUUUGGUGGAGCGGGGGCUGUUCCCCCCAUACGUAACGGGCUGAGCCUACCUGAGAUGUUGGGUCCUACCCGAGAUGGAGAGCGAUGCACGUACGGGGUCACCCCUAGCCGCUUGCCUGCCCAGCGCCUCCGCUGUCCGCGAGCCCGUCGCGAGGUGACCCCGACACAAAAUCGUUUUUGUCAGGAUGUCACCGAAGCUGGAGCCUGACCGCGGGAGAGGUUUGCACGCAGCUGUCUGACCUCCUUGCAUCCCGCAGAUCAAAGCCCGGCUUCCUAAUUGCAACUUUUAUCACGCUCACCCAAACGCUCGCACAAUAUCCUGGCGGUGUUGCUGGGCCGACAGGCGUUUCGACCACGCACGCGAUUACGGGAGAUUAGCAGAUGUAAAAGCGUGCCUGGGAGACAGGGCAAUGCGUCAUCCCCCUUUAGGACGGGGGAUGCUCGGCUCCGGCAGGGAGGUUUCGGUGCGAAGCUCUUCCCACCUCGCGGGCUAGCAGAUGGCCAUGGGGAGCUUUGGACACAAGCGUGCCCCAAAAUGCCCCAUGCUGGACCAGGACCCCCCUAAGCUCUGCGUCGGAGGCCGGGUCCUGCCGGCCGCUGGGAUUUCUGAAUGAGGGAGCAGCGUCAGGAAAGGUGGAGCGAGGAGAAGAGCUAUUGCGUUGAUCAAAGACGCCGAAGGUCUUCACCGGGGAGGAUUAAAAUAUGCCAAGAACGAGAACUGCCGGGCCUAGGAGCCAGGAUUGCUCACAUGGGGAGAGAGAAACUUGGCUGCGGAUCCCCUGGAACAAAGCAAAAACAGGAAAAUGCAUAGACAUGCCUAGAAAGUCAUAAAAACAAAGUUUAGGUUAAAUACACACAGGGUCCCUUUUCCCUUCGCAGGUUAAGAAAGGGCAGUCUCUGCCUCCAGAGCUCCUGGCAGAAGCAAUCACUCUCGCUUAUUCUCAGGGAGAAAAGCAAAGGUGGAUCACGGCAGUAACCACGGGGCGGCCAGAAAGGGCCGUCACAGGCGCGGAGCCGGGCAGACCCAGGCAGCCCGGGUUGAAAGGACAGCUACGGGGACAACCUUCAACCUGCCGUAUGGCCCAGACCCCUCUGCCGCUGCCUCCUGCAAAGCGUGGGAGAAAGGGGCUGUGGUCUCCCAAGUGUCCUCCCCGGCUCCCCGCUUCGGCUAUUCUCCUUGAGCUAUAGGAUCACAUCUGUACAGCGCUGUAAACACCUACGGGUGAUGUGCCAGGUAAUGCAGACUAGUGCGUUAAGUUCAGAGGAUCCACUUUAUUUUGUAAGCGCUCGGAGUCAGCAGCACUCAACAUUUCAUUAAACUGUCGUGGAGUAAUAAAAAGCAAACAAGGCUUUCAGGUUUGCUGCAAAUGUUUGGGUUAAAAGAAGAAAAAAGUCAGCUGGGAACAAAAAGAACAACUUCUCUUGAUUUCCUCCAGCCCUUCUUUCUGAAUGAGGAUGAUGGCAGGCGGCUCCGACUCCGCGGGACGCUUGGGUGAGUGCCGGCCCUGAAACACAUGUGCUCCCACCGCCGGCGCGACGCCGCCAGAAAUCCCUGUGUCAGUCCUUUCCCAAACUAGACCCGAGCUGUUUGGGUCGCGCAUUGAUUUCUCGGCGAUACUGCAGCAGCGCCGGCGGGAGGAAACUCAUGACGGCCGGUAACCUCGCGUCAGGCGCUCGGUAAAAGAUUCCAGUUAGGAAAUUGUCUCCUUCGGGUUUUGCUUGCAGCGAGUUCACGUCAGCCUCUCGCUGUUUCCUUUCUGCUGUGUACAACUAAUAAAAACAAGACGUUUGUCCACUUUGAUUACAGUGCCUAAUGAAAAACAAGCUUUGAUGUAAUGGAAGGAAAUAAUGUAUUUAGAUAUAUUCUCUGCUCGGAUCAGCCACAGCUAAUAUAAAUCAGGGCACUCAGAAGAUCAGGAAGGGUGUGGAGAACUUAAACUUGACCCCUCACCGCCGUUUUCUGUAACCUUUACAUUAAAUUAACUUUCCUAUUGUUCCAUA